AUUGAACGCUGGCGGAAUGCUUUACACAUGCAAGUCGAGCGGCAGCACGGGGGCAACCCUGGUGGCGAGCGGCGAACGGGUGAGUAAUACAUCGGAACAUGCCCAGUCGUGGGGGAUAACACUUCGAAAGAAGUGCUAAUACCGCAUACGUCCUGAGGGAGAAAGCGGGGGAUCGCAAGACCUCGCGCGAUUGGAGUGGCCGAUGUCAGAUUAGCUAAUUGGUGGGGUAAAGGCCUACCAAGGCAACGAUCUGUAGCUGGUCUGAGAGGAUGAUCAGCCACACUGGGACUGAGACACGGCCCAGACUCCUACGGGAGGCAGCAGUGGGGAAUUUUGGACAAUGGGGGCAACCCUGAUCCAGCCAUUCCGCGUGAGUGAAGAAGGCCUUCGGGUUGUAAAGCUCUUUCGGCAGGAACGAAACGGCGAGCUCUAACAUAGCUUGCUAAUGACGGUACCUGAAGAAGAAGCACCGGCUAACUACGUG
rnacentral:rRNA from 1 species